rnacentral:rRNA from 1 species
AACGAACGCUGGCGGCAUGCCUAACACAUGCAAGUCGAACGAGACCUUCGGGUCUAGUGGCGCACGGGUGCGUAACGCGUGGGAACCUGCCCUUAGGUUCGGAAUAACUCCCCGAAAGGGGUGCUAAUACCGGAUAACUUCUUCGGAUCAAAGAUUUAUCGCCCUUGGAUGGGCCCGCGUUGGAUUAGCCUGUUGGUAGGGUAAAAGCCUACCAAGGCGACGAUCCAUAGCUGGUCUGAGAGGAUGAUCAGCCACACUGGGACUGAGACACGGCCCAGACUCCUACGGGAGGCAGCAGUGGGGAAUAUUGGACAAUGGGCGAAAGCCUGAUCCAGCAAUGCCGCGUGAGUGAUGAAGGCCUUAGGGUUGUAAAGCUCUUUUACCCGGGAUGAUAAUGACAGUACCGGGAGAAUAAGCUCCGGCUAACUCCGUG